GCAUCCAGCUGCCACCAGAUUCCUUGCAGGGUGAGGGAACUGUGUUUCUCCAGUACAAAUGGGGGCCCUCCUAAUCAUUUGGAUCAGGUCUGUCCUUAGUGACAGCAAUGUCUGUGAGCACUUCUGGGUCUGGCAGCAACAUCUUCAAUAUCUGAUCCCAAAAGAUAACCCCAGCUGGUGUCAUGAUCCUAGCCAGCACACCCACUGAGCCAGCUCACUGCCCCAUUGGAUGCUCUGUGAAAGGAGCUGCUUUUCUGGCUUGUUACCUGCGGCAACUGACUUCAGAAGACUAUUCUUGCUAGUGCUGUCUAAGGGCAGCUGUCACUAAGAGGCUGUUCACCACGAGUUUGCUGCACACCCUGAAAACU